rnacentral:rRNA from 1 species
ACGCUCGACACCUACGGGAGGCAGCAGGUGGGGAAUAUUGCACAAUGGGGGAAACCCGUGAUGCAGCAACGCCGCGUGAAGGAAGACGGUUUUCGGAUUGUAAACUUCUGUUCUUAGUGAAGAUAGUGACGGUAGCUAAGGAGCAAGCCACGGCUAACUACGUGCCACAGCCGCGGUAAUCUGAGCGGGCUGGCAAGGC